UUGGUAACAGCAGUUUCAGUGAAAUGGUGAGACGAGGGAGCGCUUACUGACAGGAAGAGAAAUGUGAAGAGCAAGUACACACAGCCCUUUUGAGGUUUGCUGUAGAAGAAAACUCCAGCUGAAAGAGGAGUCAACAGGAUACUUUACAGACAGAGCUGCGUCUCAGUGCCUGGCAUGGAGGAGGGGCUCAGUCCUGGGGAGUGAACAGGUUCUCUCUGAAUUGCCCAGGCUGACCUUGAAUUUUUGAUCUUCUUGCCUUGGACUCUCAAGAAGCUGGAAUUACAGGGGUGC